rnacentral:lncRNA from 1 species
UCUCGAGAAGCUCCUCCCGGUACUCAUCCGAGCCACGAAAGUCCUCCACCGCCUGGCUCAGCGCCUCUUGGCUGACUCCACCUCCGCCUUCGCUAUGUCGGUGUCGGCUUGGGUGGAGGAUAAGUUCUCCUCGGCCUUAGCCAGGUUCUCCAGGCUAACCCGGAGUUGCUCGCGCUCGGCCUCGAGCUCUUUGACGUAGUCAUCCCGCUCACGCCGCAGCUGGUGAACGGAACGGAUCUUGCACUGGACUUGCUCGUGAGCUGACUGAAGUUUGGCCUCCGAGGUGGCUAGGCCAUUGGUGAGUCGAAAAAUCUCCUCCUCGAGCCUAGCCUCACGGUCGAUCGAUAGCUUCAGCUGGUCCACCAGCAUCGCCUUUUCAGCUUCGAUAGUUUCGGCCCUAUUCUUUCAGGCCGCCCCAACAUCGCCGAACCUCCGGUACCCGACCUCCAGCUUAGACAUAUUGUAGAUCAGCUGCAAGUAGAAGGCCGAUCGUCAAAAAAAUAAAAUGAUGAAAAUAAUAAUGAAGAAGGAAGA